rnacentral:rRNA from 1 species
CCUACGGGUGGCAGCAGUGGGGGAUAUUGCACAAUGGGGGGAACCCUGAUGCAGCGACGCCGCGUGGGUGAAGGAGCGUUUCGGCGCGUAAAGCCCUAUCGGCAGGGAAGAAGGAGGACGGUACCUGACUAAGAAGCCCCGGCUAACGACGUGCCAGCAGCCGCGGUAAUACGUAGGGGGCAAGCGUUAUUCGGAUUUAUUGGGUUAAAAGGGUGCGUAGGCGGUCCGGAAAGUCAGCGGUAAAAGCCCGGGGAUCAACCCCGGCGAGCCGUUGAAACUGUCGGACUAGAGACGGCGAGAAGUACGCGGAAUGCGAGGUGUAGCGGUGAAAUGCAUAGAUAUCGCGCAGAACUCCGAUUGCGAAGGCAGCGUACCGGCGCCGGACUGACGCUGAGGCACGAAAGCGUGGGUAUCGAACAGGAUUAGAUACCCGAGUAGUC